GCUGCGUGAGUUAAUCUCCUUUUGGAGCUGGACUGAUUAGAAUUUCUAGCGUUUUAAUCGCUCCAUAACCUUAAGCUAGACGCUUUUAAAAGGUGGUUCGCCUUUUAAACUAAGAAACAAGAACUCUUGAAACUACCUCAAGGUUUUAGAAAGUUGGACCAGAGCUAGUUUUAAGGCUAAAAAACUAACCAAUUUUCUAAGCAUUGUAGAAGUUUGUGUUUAGGACAAGAUUUUUGGACUGGGGUUCGAUUCCCCACAGCUCCACCA
rnacentral:tmRNA from 1 species